rnacentral:rRNA from 1 species
ACGUAGGGUGCAAGCGUUAAUCGGAAUUACUGGGCGUAAAGCGUGCGCAGGCGGUUCUGUAAGAUAGAUGUGAAAUCCCCGGGCUCAACCUGGUAAUUGCAUAUAUGACUGCAGGACUUGAGUUUGUCAGAGGAGGGUGGAAUUCCACGUGUAGCAGUGAAAUGCGUAGAUAUGUGGAAGAACACCGAUGGCGAAGGCAGCCCUCUGGGACAUGACUGACGCUCAUGCACGAAAGCGUGGGGAGCAAACAGGAUUAGAUACCCUGGU